rnacentral:ribozyme from 1 species
UGCCCAGCAACUCCCAUCCCUACCUCCUCGCGGUAUAGGCUGGAGUACGAGCAACCUUAGGGAAGAUCGGGUAACCAUUCCUGGUGGG